AUGGCAGGUGAAGAAAACAAGUAUGGUGUUGAAGGAAAUGGGCAUCUCAAUCAGCCCGUCACACGGUUUCACUUCAACGCAUUACGUGAUCAUCUACGCCGAGAGUUCGGAAACAGCCUUGACCCAAUUGAAGAGAAGCAAGACAAGUUGUCGAGAGAUUUGCAGCAACUUAUGGGUAAUGUUGAUGAGCAACUCACUCAGAACAUGGCAACCAUGAGGACUGGUAUUGUUGCUGAUAUUGUGCGAGAGCUUUGUCAGAACCGAGAAGAUGCAAGUGUCCAUGGUGAAGAACAAAAUGUAACUGAUGGGGAAGGUGCUGCCUCCAAUGCACAAGCUGGAAGAAACCAUGCUCCUGCUCCCCAUGCCAUGAGACCUCCCGGUCCCGGACGUGGAAAUGAUCAUGGUAAUGGACGUGGUCAUCAUGAAGCUGCUGCUGGUCGUGGUCUUAGAGGAGGCCGCCGAAGAGCAAAUCUGCACCAUGAAGGUAGUGGAGAUGAGUUUGAUGAAGAUGAAGAUGGCAUGCACCAGAAUGACAGAUUUCAUCAUCGUAGAAUCUAUGGUCGUGGAUGGCAGGAGGAGAAGAGGUUU
rnacentral:rRNA from 1 species